UGCUCUCACCCUUCAUUUCUCGUCAUUAUUAUUACUAUUUUCCUAUUUUCUUUCUUCCUUUUUACUCCAAUUUUCACUUCUUUGGUGUUCAACUUCUCCAAAUCUUUUAUGUCUGCAACCAGAUCUUCAAAAUCAGAUACAUCAAUGGCGGGUUCACCCAUCAAAAACCCUUAAGUUUUCUUCUGUAAGCUAUAGCUUUCUGUUCCAAACACAUAAAGACCCCAUUUGUGAUGCAUGAUCUUAUGUGACACAAUUGUUUUCAUAAUCUAUGAUCAUUUUCUUUAGUUACUUGUUAUUAUGAUAUGGGUAGACUAAGUUUAAGUGGUUUUUAUGGUGGGUUAGGGUUUCUUGACAGCAGGUUACCAAUAUGUGGUUCUUGGUGCUGUAGUUACUAGUUAUUUUCUGUUUGAUAUUAAGUUUGUUUUCAACUUUAUUUUCCUUAAAAUCAUCGAAUAGUUUGAUUUUUUUAGCUGAUAAAAGGCUAAAUUAUUCUUACUUGCACAAAUAGAAAGAUCAUCCUGUCUUUAUUUAUUUAUUUUUUUUUUUUUUGCAAUUAUUGGCUUCAACUUUAUUCUAAAAUUAUAAUUAUUUAGGGCUUAAUUAGAUUACAAGAUUUAGACUGUCCCCAAAUUCACUCCAUUAUUGUUGUUGGAAUUAUUUUAAUUUUGUAAUAAAAUUUUAAUAUUUAAUUUUCUGGAACCCUGAAUUAGUGGUUUAAUCAUACGUUCUCUCUAGGGUUUUCUUGGACACUUUUAAAACUUAUAUUUUUUUUUCAUUAUUUUCAUUUCGUUAGAAACAUCUAGCCCGAUUAACCCUAGGGUUAAAUUCUUUAUGAACUGGAGUUACAUAUGUAUUCAUAUGUUUGUUUACAUCUUUGUAUAUUUUAUUGAA
rnacentral:lncRNA from 1 species